GUCAGUUUGGCCGAGUGGUUAUGGCGUGUGACUCAAGCGUAAGCUUCCGUUCAUCUGAAUGGUUUCUCAGAUCAAUUUCGAUCAGAGGUUUCUCAUCACGAAAGUGGCAAGGGUUCGAAUCCCUUAGCUGACA